UCCAGACUCCUACGGGAGGCAGCAGUGGGGGAUAUUGCACAAUGGGGGAAACCCCGAUGCAGCGACGCCGCGUGGGUGAAGAAGUAUUUCGGUAUGUAAAGCCCUAUCAGCAGGGAAGAAAGAAGACGGUACCUGACUAAGAAGCCCCGGCUAACUACGUGCCAGCAGCCGCGGUAAUACGUAGGGGGCGAGCGUUAUCCGGAUUCACUGGGUGUAAAGGGAGCGUAGGCGGCCGUGCAAGCCAGGAGUGAAAGCCCGGGGCCCAACCCCGGGACUGCUCUUGGAACUGUGCGGCUGGAGUGCGGGAGGGGCAGGCGGAAUUCCUGGUGUAGCGGUGAAAUGCGUAGAUAUCAGGAGGAACACCGGCGGCGAAGGCGGCCUGCUGGACCGCGACUGACGUUGAGGCUCGAAAGCGUGGGGAGCGAACAGGAUUAGAUACCCGUGUAGG
rnacentral:rRNA from 1 species